UACGUAGGGAGCAAGCGUUGUCCGGAUUUACUGGGCGUAAAGGGCGCGUAGGCGGCUUAACAAGUCACUUGUGAAAUCUCCGGGCUUAACUCGGAACGGCCAAGUGAAACUGUCAAGCUAGAGUGCAGAAGGGGCAAUCGGAAUUCUUGGUGUAGCGGUGAAAUGCGUAGAUAUCAAGAGGAACACCUGAGGUGAAGACGGGUUGCUGGGCUGACACUGACGCUGAGGCGCGAAAGCCAGGGGAGCAAACAGG
rnacentral:rRNA from 1 species